AGCGAACGCUGGCGGCGUGCUUAACACAUGCAAGUCGAGCGAAGGUGUUUCAAGGGUAACCUUGAGAUACACUUAGCGGCGGACGGGUGAGUAAUACGUGGAUAACUUACCUCUAGGCCUGGGAUAACCCCGGGAAACUGGGGCUAAUACCUGAUAAGACCACAUUGUCUACGGACAAAGGGGUAAAGGUGGCUGUGCAAACAGCUAUCGCCAAAAGAUAGGUUCACGUCCCAUCAGGCAGUGGUGAGGUAAUGGCUCACCAAACCAAAGACGGGUAGCCGGCCUUGGCGGGGUGAACGGCCACACGGGGACUGAGACACGGCCCCGACUCCUACGGGAGGCAGCAGUGGGGAAUAUUGGGCAAUGGGCGCAAGCCUGACCCAGCGACGUCGCGUUGGGGAAGAAGGCCUUCGGGUUGUAAACCC
rnacentral:rRNA from 1 species